GGGCGCUUGAGGAUGAGCUUGCGUCCUAUUAGCUUGUUGGUAGGGUAAUGGCCUACCAAGGUUAUGAUGGGUAGCCGGCCUGAGAGGGUGUCCGGCCACACUGGAAUGGGACACGGUCCAGACUCUACGGGAGGCAGCAGUGAGGAAUUUUGCGCAAUGGGCGAAAGCCUGACGCAGCGACGCCGCGUGGAGGAUGAAGGCUUUCGGGUUGUAAACUCCUGUCAGAGGUGAAGAAAACCCCCUUAGGGGGCUUGACGUAACCUCAGAGAAGCCCCGCUAACU
rnacentral:rRNA from 1 species